rnacentral:lncRNA from 1 species
UUGAAGUGUAACAUAAUAAAUAAUACUUUAAAGAUGAUAUCAUUAUUUCAAAUGCUCCUCUCUUACAGACCAGAAUUGUCAGAAGCCUUCCUUUUAAUUUUUAGGGAAAUUGGCACACAUAUACAUAACCAACAACAAAAUUAAUUCUCUACACAUAACAACUCUUAAGCUAUGAUAUUUAUGUAAUAAUUACCAUAUUACCCUUUACCACAUUUACUUGAACAUUUUUUUUUGAUUUUUUUUCUUCUUACAAAUAUGUUUUUCCCUUCUCUUUUUAAUUGAUUUCAACUUCUGAUAUAACACUUAUUAAACUUUGUAUUUUACAUAUUAAAAACAUAGAUUUUUUUUCUUCACAUAAAAUGUUUUGAAACUUUCAAAACAGAUUUAUAUUUUAUAAAUUUUAUAAUAUAUUUCAUUAACGCGGUUUUAAUUCUAUACUAUCAUAAAC